rnacentral:rRNA from 1 species
GAUGAACGCUGGCGGCGUGCCUAAUACAUGCAAGUCGAGCGAACAGACGAGGAGCUUGCUCCUCUGACGUUAGCGGCGGACGGGUGAGUAACACGUGGAUAACCUACCUAUAAGACUGGGAUAACUUCGGGAAACCGGAGCUAAUACCGGAUAAUAUAUUGAACCGCAUGGUUCAAUAGUGAAAGACGGUUUUGCUGUCACUUAUAGAUGGAUCCGCGCCGCAUUAGCUAGUUGGUAAGGUAACGGCUUACCAAGGCAACGAUGCGUAGCCGACCUGAGAGGUGGAUCGGCCACCCUGGAACUGAGAAACGGCCCAGACUCCUACGGGGGGCAGCAGUAGGGAAUUUUCCGAAAGGGGCGAAAGCCUGCCGGAGCAACGCCGCGUGAGUGAAGAAGGUCUUCGGAUCGUAAAACUCUUUUAUUAGGGAAAAACAAAUGUGUAAGUAACUAUGCACGUCUUGCCGGUACCUAAUCAAAAAGCCCCGGCUAACUACGU